rnacentral:rRNA from 1 species
AACGAACGCUGGCGGCAUGCCUAACACAUGCAAGUCGAACGAAGUCUUCGGACUUAGUGGCGCACGGGUGCGUAACGCGUGGGAAUCUGCCCUUGGGUGCGGAAUAACUUCUCGAAAGGGAUGCUAAUACCGCAUAAUGUCGUAAGACCAAAGAUUUAUCGCCCAAGGAUGAGCCCGCGUAAGAUUAGCUAGUUGGUGGGGUAAAAGCCUACCAAGGCGACGAUCUUUAGCUGGUCUGAGAGGAUGAUCAGCCACACUGGGACUGAGACACGGCCCAGACUCCUACGGGAGGCAGCAGUGGGGAAUAUUGGACAAUGGCGAAAGCCUGAUCCAGCAAUGCCGCGUGAGUGAUGAAGGCCCUAGGGUUGUAAAGCUCUUUCGCCGAUGAAGAUAAUGACGGUAGUCGGAGAAGAAGCCCCGGCUAACUUCGUGCCAGCAGCCGCGGUAAU